UACGUAGGGGGCAAGCGUUGUUCGGAUUUAUUGGGCGUAAAGAGCGUGUAGGCGGUUAGGUAGGUCCGUUGUGAAAACUCGAGGCUCAACCUCGAGACGCCGAUGGAAACCAUCUGACUAGAGUCCGGAAGAGGAGAGUGGAAUUCCUGGUGUAGCGGUGAAAUGCGCAGAUAUCAGGAAGAACACCCGUGGCUAAGGCGGCUCUCUAGUACGGUACUGACGCUGAGACGCGAAAGCGUGGGGAGCGAACAGG
rnacentral:rRNA from 1 species